AGUAAGGUAAGCUAAUUAAGCCUCUGGGCUCAUACCCCAAAAAUGUUGGUUAAAAUCCUCCUUUUACUA
rnacentral:tRNA from 1 species